UACGUAGGGGGCGAGCGUUAUCCGGAAUUAUUGGGCGUAAAGAGCUCGUAGGCGGUUUGUCGCGUCUGCCGUGAAAGUCCGGGGCUUAACCCCGGAUCUGCGGUGGGUACGGGCAGACUAGAGUGCAGUAGGGGAGACUGGAAUUCCUGGUGUAGCGGUGAAAUGCGCAGAUAUCAGGAGGAACACCGAUGGCGAAGGCAGGUCUCUGGGCUGUAACUGACGCUGAGGAGCGAAAGCAUGGGGAGCGAACAGG
rnacentral:rRNA from 1 species